GGUGAAUUACCCUCACUGUAUUUUAUUUUAUUUUAUUUUAUUUUAUUUUAUUUUAUUUUAUUUUAUUUUAGUUAGAAAAGAAGAAAGAAGCUACUAAGAAAAAAAUGCUGGCUUUAGAACAGUGGGAAAGGAGCCAUGAUUCUUCCAAGCUAUCUGAAAUAAUUUCCAGCUGAGAAGAUAGAACUGGACUCCAUAUGCUGAUUGUAAAUCUUUUUCUAUCUAGAGCACUUACAAAGAGAGCACUAAGUAUUAAAUUACCUUUUCAGGAAAUAAAAGAGCAGCUUUUGUUAA